rnacentral:rRNA from 1 species
CUAGGUUACUCCUGCCAGUAGCAUAUGCAUGUCUCAAAGAUUAAGCCAUGCACAUGUAAGUACACACAGCCGGUACAGUGAAAUUGCAAAUGUCUCAUUAAAUCAGUUAUGGUUCCUUUGAUCGCUCUGUUACUUGGAUAAUUAUGGUAAUUCUAGAGCUAAUACAUGCCGAGUGCUGACCUCCCGGGGUGCAAGCAUUUACCAGACCAAGGCCAUUUUGGGUUUGUCCGACCGUUUUGGUGACUCUAGAUAACCGGGGGCUGACUGUAUGUCCCAGUGACAGCAACUGUAUUUUCAGAUGUCUGCCCUAUAAACUUUUGAUGGUACUUUCUGUGCCAAACAUGUUGACCAUAGGUAACAGGGAAUUAGGGUUCAUUUCAGAGGAGGGAGCCUGAGAAACAGCUACCGCAUUCAAGGAAGGGAGCCGGAGUAAUUGUAUUGGUUAUUUAUAACACGCUUAGUACGCAUAAUUUUCUGAGCGCAGACCCGUGGAUCGAACCUUUGUUGCCCUGUGUCGUCUUGCUUCCAAGGUGAGCGCGUUGCCCCUGAGCUAUCCUCCCAGCCCUGCAAAUUACCCACUUCCAACUGUAUGAGGUAGUGACGAAAAAUAACAAUACAGGACUCUUUAGAGUAAUUGGAAUGAGUACACUUUAAAUCGCUUAAUGAGGCUCCAUUGGAGGGCAAGUCUGUUGCCAGCAGCCACGGUAAUUCCCGUUCCAAUAGCGUAUAUUAAAGUUACUUGAGUGAAAAAUCUUGUAGUUGGAUCUUGGGAUUGAGCUGGCGGUCCGCUGCGAGGAAAGCUAGCCUGACCCAGCCCCUACCUCUCUUCAUCUCCUUGAUGCUCUUGAAUGAAUGUCAAGUGGGUACAAAGCGUUUAAUUAGAGUGUUCAAAAUAUACCAUUCACCUGAAUACUUCAGCUAGAAAUAAUGUAUUAGGACUCCAGUUCUAUUUUGUUUGUUUUUGGAACUGUGGCCAUGAUUAAGAGGGGUGGCCGGGGUAAUUCGUAUUGUUCUGCUAGAGUUGGAAUUAUUGGACUGGCGCAAGACGAACCAAAGCAAAAUCAUUUGUCAAGAAUGUUUUCAUUAAUCAAGAAGGAAAUCAGAGGUUCGAAGAUGAUCAGAUAUCUUCUUGUUCUCUGUAUAAACAAAACUGACUAGUAGUCAGGCAGCUUUACUCACAUGAUCUGCCGAGCUGAUUCCGGGAAGCCAAAGUCUUUGAGUUCCGGAGGUAGUUUGGUUGCAAAGCAAAAACUUAUAGAAAUUCGAUGGAAGGGCACCACCAGGAGUGGAGCCUGUGGCUUAAUUUGACUCAGCAGAGGAAACCUCACCUAGCCUGGACACAAAGGAUUGAAAGAUUGAUAGCUCUUUCUGGAUUAUGUGGGUGGUGGUGCAUGGCAGUUCUUAGUUGUUGGAGUAAUUUGUCUGGUUAAUUCUGAGAAUGAAUGAGAUUGCUCCAUGCUUACUGGUUACGUGACCCCAACCGGUUGGCUUUCAGCACAUGAGAUUCAGCAAUAACAUAUAUGUGAUGUCCUUAGAUAUCCAGGGCUGCACACUCACUGCCCUGAACAGAUCAGCAUGUGUCUACACUUUGCUGACAGAAGGUGGUUAACUACUGAACCCUGCUUGUGAUAGGAGUUGGGCUUUGCAAUUAUUUCCCAUGAAUGAGGAAUUCACAGAAAGUGUGGGUCAUAAGGUUGCACUGAUUAUGUCCCUGCUAUUUGUACACACCACUCCUUUCUACUACCUAUUGGAUGGUUUAGUGAGGUCCUCGGAUCGGCCCUGCCAGGGUCAGCAACAGCCCUGGUUGGUCGGCAAGAAGUCGAUCAAACUUGACUCUAUAGAGGAAGUAAAAGUCAUAACAAGGUUCCCAUAAGGUGAACCUGCAGAAG